UGUUCGGCAACAAAAACGAGAAGAAUGACCAGCACGUGCGUCGAGACUGUCAGGCUGCGAACGCGCGCGCGAGUCAGCGGACUUCGACCCCCGUCACGUGACCGCGAUAAACAUGCGGCUUUAAAAAGUUGUUUCAGCGCAGCGACAGUUGUGUAACACCAUCAUGGAGACAGUCAACCACUUCCAAACCUUUAAGGAACUCGGCAUCGACUAUGGUUAUGAAGACGACUUAAACGAUGUCCUCCGAAGAGAGUUCACGCGAAUGAAAGGAAUUACAUACUUGGAUCAUGCAGCGGCGACUCUUUACCCAGAAUCUGCAGUGAAGGAGUACUUCUUGGAUAUUUCAAGGAACGUAUACGGAAACCCUCACAGCCACAACUCCAGCAGCCGACUGACACAUGACACCAUAGAGAGGGUCAGAUAUAGGGUAUUGCAGCACUUCAACGCAGACCCUGAGGAAUACUCUGUUAUUUUCACGUCUGGGUGUACAGCUGCUCUCAAAUUAGUUGCUGAAAGCUUCCCUUGGAGGCCGCAAUCCGAGAGCGAGUCAGCCAGUCACUUCUGCCACCUCGCUGAUAAUCACACGUCUGUCGUCGGAAUACGGGCUCUGGCGUCUGACCGGGGAGCUGCUAUCCUGCCCGUGGCCCUGCAGGAUGUGGAGAACACAGCCAAAGACCAAAGUCAAAGUGAGGAUGUCGCUUGCCUGACGCCACACCUUUUCUGCUACCCUGCUCAGAGCAACUUCUCGGGACGCAAGUAUCCCCUCGACCAUGUGAAGGCCAUCCAAGCACGACAGCUUUACCCGGCAUGUAAACACCCAGGACGCUGGUUUGUGCUGCUGGACGCAGCAUCUUAUGUCAGCUGCUCCCCUCUCAGCCUCCGAGACUGUCCUGCAGAUUUUAUUCCUAUUUCUUUCUACAAGAUGUUUGGUUUCCCCACUGGCCUUGGUGCUCUUUUGCUCAGUAAGGACGCAGCCAGCAUACUGAAAAAGACUUAUUUUGGAGGUGGUACAGCUGCCGCUUACCUUUCAGGAGAAGAUUAUUAUGUGCAGGCAGCAAACAUCUCUGACAGGUUCGAAGAUGGAACUGUGUCGUUUUUGGAAAUUGUUGCUCUCAAUCACAGUUUUGAGGCCCUGUACAGGAUCACAGGGGGAAUGGCCAACAUCCAGCGGCACACAUUCGGCCUGGCGCGCUACACUUACAUGCUGCUGUCAAGUCUUUGCCAUGGCAACGGUCGACCGGCGGCUCGCAUAUACACCGAAGGCCAGUUUGAGAGUCCGAGCACACAGGGAGCAGUCCUUAACUUCAACCUCAUCGAUUCCCAUGGAAAAAUAGUUGGAUAUUCUCAGGUGGACAGAAUGGCUGCUCUGUACAAUAUCCAUGUGCGCACCGGCUGUUUCUGCAACACGGGUGCAUGUCAGAGUUACCUCGGGAUCAGCAACCAGCAGAUGAGGACCAAUCUGCAGGCUGGCCACGUCUGUGGAGACGCCAUCGACCUGGUGGAUGGUCGUCCGACCGGUUCCGUCCGCGCUUCCUUUGGCUACAUGUCAACAUUUGAAGACUGUCAAAGGCUGCUGAGCUUCAUAGCAGAGUGCUUUGUGGAGAAACCAGUGACAGUGGACCGGGACCGACUGGAGGCACUUAAGGCCACAGCAGCAUCUGAGAGUUUCAAUGAAAGUCUUCCCAUCACAAAUUGUGAAAAGAAAAUGCUGUGCGUAGGCAAGAAGCAGAAACUCGCAGCAGCAUCACUGGAGGGAUUUAAGGGGAUAAACCCAAGCAGCUGUGAAGAGCCUUACACUCUGACCAACAUCUACAUAUAUCCUGUCAAAUCUUGUGGAGCGUUUGAGGUCUCCAACUGGCCGGUGGGAUCUCGAGGUCUGCUGUACGACCGAGGGUGGAUGGUGGUGAAUGGAAACGAUGUGUGUUUAAGUCAGAAGAGAGAGCCGCGUCUGUGUCUCAUUCGCCCUGAAGUCCACCUGCCUUCUAACACGCUCCACCUACAGGCGGCAGGGAUGGAGGGGAUCUCUGUUCCUCUAGAAGGAACCAUGGGAGCAAACUAUCCCGAGUGUCAGAGUAAAGUUUGUGGGGACAGGGUGGAGACGGUGGACUGCGGGGACGAGGCUGCGAUGUGGCUCACCAAGUUCCUCGGACAGCCCUGUCGCUUGAUAAGACAAAAUCCUAAUUCCACACGAGACAAGAAGCAAAGGCCCGGCAGAGGUAGUACUGAUCAUUUGUGAGGCAAGCCUAUUGAAUACUGAUUAUUUUAGCUGCGGAUGAAUAAUAGCAUUAUGUCGGCCAAAUUUAAUGAAAAUGAAAUAGAAAGUUUCCUUUUGGCUGGUACUUCCAUCUCCAGCAUCUGGUCCAACUCUGUCUCUCCUCGCCUUGUGUCCAAACUAUCUCUGAGGGGCUUUUCACACUGCCGGUUCUGUCUCCGGUGGCCUCAGUUCGAUUCGCCCCCUACUGUGCAGCCUCGCACCUCUGCGCCUUUUUUCUCCUCAUCUGGUGGAGCUCUGCGCAAAAUAGCUGGUUUGUGACCCACGAUGAAGAACAUCUAAAGGAAGUCGUCAUCAGCUACGCAACUAGCUAUUUAACACCAUCGGGUUGACCUCCUUAUUCCUGUCAAUUCUUAGCACUACGAGUCGUCCUCACCUCAGAUAUGAACUGAUGACGGACCUCCGCCACAGCUGUAACAGAAUGUGGUGUCACAGCCGAAACAAAACAUGGAAGAGUGUUGUCAUGUUUAUUUUACAAGGAAAUAGCGAAAACAAGCUGCGUAAUACGGAUUGUCUUGAUUUAUCCACACAGCCGUGACAACACAUUGAACACAGUGAGAGAGAUUACUGACAGUCGAGAAGAUUUUAAUCAUUGAAGUACAGAUCCAGACGUCAGAAAUGAUCAAUGAAUAAUCUGGUGAUCUUCAGUAACUUGUGGAAAAUCAAGCUGCGUCUUUCUUCCUCGCAGUCGUCCUCAUGCAGACAUCUGCACUGCAGGCACAUCACGACAGUGAAAGCAGUUACUGUAGCUGUACUGUACCUGCAGCUGCCGUUGCACACCUCAGUAUUCUGGGAGUUUGAGAAGUUGUUUUUGAACGAUGAUAUGCGCCCAGACAGCAAUCUGGCCCUUUAAUGCCCUGCAUUUAUGGAGUCGCGCUGUUAACUUGUUUUCCAGCAUCUAGCGCUAUCUAGAGUUGCCUGAGACGAGAAGCUCACCACCCACUGAGAGUUUCCCAAGACUAAGUGCAGCUCUCCAAGCGUGAUGUAGUCUGCGGUCAAAACCUGACUCACUUAUGUUCACAUCUCGGACAACCGAGCCGAAAGAGCUCUGUCUCGAGACAGAACCCACAGUGUGAAACCGCCCUAACUUUGUCUCAUAACUUGUUCCUUUCAUGUUGUAUUUUCUGAUCUUGUCCUUUUAUCUUCAUCCCUGACUGACCCCUGAGUCUCUAAACCAUUCACCAUGGCAGUGACCACUAUUGUCCAUCACCUUCCCCGUUGCUAUUACCCUGACAUCCCUGUUGUCUCCACCAUGCCUGCACUCUCUGCCUACCUAGCCACUCACUGAGCUCAUGCCUGCUCCCACAGAUCACCAGCAAACAUUGUCAUCCACAGGCACUUAUCUUUACUGAACCAACUACAGUUCAUCUUAUUCACAUCAAAAGAUAAGACUCAUUGUUUUAUUAUCCACCCAUUCUCACUGCCAAGGCGUCAAAUUAUUUUCAUUUGAGACAGAGAUGUUUAGAGGCGUCGCUCUGAGAUGAAAAGGUCCAUUUGAUGAUAUGAACUAUUUCCUCUGAUUUUUGUCUAAAUUCUGCUUCCUUUUCCAGUGUUAUACAGUUUAUUCUUAGCUCUCUCUCUUGCUUUAGUUUGACAGCAGUGGUGUCAUUAUAUAUGCUUAAACUGUAUACACACACGACCUGAGCAGAGGGAUCAUGUGCCCUCCCUUUAUGUGCACACGCUUCAAUCUUUCCAAAUUUACAUCUACAAUCACAGAGUCAACAGUGGACAGCCGCCAACUUCCGUCAUGCUGAGUUAAGAUAUUUACUUUACCAAUAUGAUAUCAUGACUGACACUUUUUUGGUUCCGACCUCCAGUAAUAUGCAUAAAAGCUGGCACAAGCAGAGCUCAGUAGCAGCUAUGUCCCCGAGCUAACUUGGUGCACAGCCGCUGUGAACUCAAACAACAUGGCUGUCUGUCACAGGCAUGCAGGCGGUUUGAAGCCGAGAUAAGUGACGCUGCCUAGAACUGACACCAUCAUUUGGGUAACAUGACGUC